AACGAACGCUGGCGGCAGGCUUAACACAUGCAAGUCGAACGCAUCCUUCGGGGUGAGUGGCAGACGGGUGAGUAACGCGUGGGAACGUGCCCUUCAGUUCGGGAUAACCCAGGGAAACUUGGGCUAAUACCGGAUACUUGCGAGAGCAGAAAGAUUUAUCGCUGAAGGAUCGGCCCGCGUCUGAUUAGCCAGUUGGUGGGGUAAUGGACCACCAAGGUGACGAUCAGUAGAUGGUCUGAGAGGAUGAGCAGCCAAAUUGGGACUGAGACACGGCCCAAACUCCUACGGGAGGCAGCAGUGGGGAAUAUUGGACAAUGGGUGCAAGCCUGAUCCAGGCAUGCCGGGUGAGCGAUGAAGGAAUUAGGGUUGUAAAGCUCUUUCGUCCGGGACGAUAAUGACGGUACCGGAAGAAGAAGCCCCGGAUAACUUCGUGCCAGCAGCCGCCGCCG
rnacentral:rRNA from 1 species